rnacentral:rRNA from 1 species
UGAGCAACCUGCCCAAGUGUGGGGGAUAGCCGGCCCAACGGCCGGGUAAUACCGCAUACGCUUCCUAGGGGGCAUUCCCAGGGAAGGAAACCUUCGGGGCACAUGGAGGGGCUCGCGGCUUAUCAGCUAGUUGGUGGGGUAAUGGCUCACCAAGGCUACGACGGGUAGCUGGU